GCCUGGCCGAUAGUGAAUUAUCUUAAUUGAUUGUCAGUUACAGAUAGAACUUAUUCUACUCUUUCCCCCAUCCUUACUACUGCACUUGACUAGUUUUUU
rnacentral:sRNA from 1 species